rnacentral:rRNA from 1 species
UACGGGGGGGCAAGCGUUGUUCGGAAUUACUGGGCGUAAAGGCGCGUAGGCGGUCAGAUAAGUCAGCUGUGAAAACCUCGGGCUUAACCCGAGGCCUGCAGUUGAAACUGUUUGGCUGGAGUGUGGGAGAGGAGAGUGGAAUUCCCGGUGUAGCGGUGAAAUGCGUAGAUAUCGAGAGGAACACCUGCGGCGAAGGCGGGUUGCUGGGCCGACACUGACGCUGAUGCGCGAAAGCCAGGGGAGCGAACGGG